CCAAAGGCUCUUUUAAGAGCCACCUACAACUUUUAGAAAGGGACUGU
rfam:Dipodomys ordii contig_61513, whole genome shotgun sequence.